rnacentral:ncRNA from 1 species
CUGCUGGUUGCUACUACUGAUUGAAUAAUUUAGUGAGGUCUUCAGACUGGCUCUUGAAGCGGCUUUCGGGUUGCAUCAGCGUGCAGGAAAGAUGACCAAACUUGAUCAUUUAGAGGAAGUAAAAGUCAUAACCAGAUUUCCGUAGGUGAACCUGUGGAAG